GUAGGCCUCAAGUGAUGUGU
rnacentral:rRNA from 1 species